UCAAACAACUCACGUGGCAGACAUGGGAGAGCAAACAACUGCUCAGCUGCUUGAGCAGUGAUAGCAGAUGUUGAUGAAAUGUAUUUGUAGUAUGUCAGCUGAACCAGUACUGAGGUUACAAUGUGCCUCACAACUCUGGUACAGAAAUCCCGAGGACUAGGAAGACGCCUGACAACUCAGUGAUAGAAAUCAACAGGACUGAGAUCAUAAUUUUUUAUGAUGAGAGUAGUAAUAUCGAUAGCCCACCAUGUACAUCAAAUAGUGAACGCCCAGAUAUCACAAUUGAUAAUAUGGAUGUGGUGGUAGUUAACAACAGUGCUGAAUUUGAGGUGCCUAGUACUCCAGUGGUUUCUGGUGCAUAUUCCACUACACCAAAAGUUCGGAAGAUGAGAAAGAGUGAUAGUAAUCCCUUACUAAAUACAGUACUGGAGAACUUAAACUCAAAAUUAACCCAAAAGGCAUUAGACCCAUCUCCACAUGAUGCUUUGGGACACUUCAUUGUUGAAGAGUUGUCCAGAAUACGAAAUCCAAUGACUGUGAGAGACACAAAACAUAAGAUACUGAAAUUUAUCAUGGAAGCUCAAAUAAUGGAUGAUAAUUGUUGAAUUGUAUGCAUUUAGUGUUUAUUACUUUGAAAAUACAUUACCAUUCAAAAAUUGAAGUUUUUAAUUGACU